ACGCUCGACACCUACGGGAAGCAGCAGUCGGGAAUAUUGCGCAAUGGAGGAAACUCUGACGCAGUGACGCCGCGUAUAGGAAGAAGGUUUUCGGAUUGUAAACUAUUGUCGUUAGGGAAGAAAAAAGACAGUACCUAAGGAGGAAGCUCCGGCUAACUACGUGCCAACAGCCGCGGUAAUCUGAGCGGGCUGGCAAGGC
rnacentral:rRNA from 1 species